rnacentral:rRNA from 1 species
CCUACGGGUGGCAGCAGUGGGGAAUAUUGGACAAUGGGCGAAAGCCUGAUCCAGCCAUGCCGCGUGUGUGAAGAAGGCCUUCGGGUUGUAAAGCACUUUCAGUGGGGAAGAAAGCCUUGGGGCUAAUACCCUCGAGGAAGGACAUCACCCACAGAAGAAGCACCGGCUAACUCCGUGCCAGCAGCCGCGGUAAUACGGAGGGUGCGAGCGUUAAUCGGAAUUACUGGGCGUAAAGCGCGCGUAGGCGGUCUGAUAAGCCGGUUGUGAAAGCCCCGGGCUCAACCUGGGAACGGCAUCCGGAACUGUCAGGCUAGAGUGCAGGAGAGGAAGGUAGAAUUCCCGGUGUAGCGGUGAAAUGCGUAGAGAUCGGGAGGAAUACCAGUGGCGAAGGCGGCCUUCUGGACUGACACUGACGCGGAGGUGCGAAAGCGUGGGUAGCAAACAGGAUUAGAUACCCUGGUAGUC